rnacentral:rRNA from 1 species
GAUGAACGCUGGCGGCGUGCCUAAUACAUGCAAGUCGAGCGAACAGAUAAGGAGCUUGCUCCUUUGACGUUAGCGGCGGACGGGUGAGUAACACGUGGGUAACCUACCUAUAAGACUGGGAUAACUUCGGGAAACCGGAGCUAAUACCGGAUAAUAUUUCGAACCGCAUGGUUCGAUAGUGAAAGAUGGUUUUGCUAUCACUUAUAGAUGGACCCGCGCCGUAUUAGCUAGUUGGUAAGGUAACGGCUUACCAAGGCGACGAUACGUAGCCGACCUGAGAGGGUGAUCGGCCACACUGGAACUGAGACACGGUCCAGACUCCUACGGGAGGCAGCAGUAGGGAAUCUUCCGCAAUGGGCGAAAGCCUGACGGAGCAACGCCGCGUGAGUGAUGAAGGUCUUCGGAUCGUAAAGCUCUGUUAUUAGGGAAGAACAUAAGUGUAAGUAACUGUGCACGUCUUGACGGUACCUAAUCAGAAAGCCACGGCUAACUACGUG